AUUUACCGCUGGCGGCAGGCCUAACACAUGCAAGUCGAACGAGUGGCGGACGGGUGAGUAAUGUCUGGGAAACUGCCUGAUGGAGGGGGAUAACUACUGGAAACAUUAGCUAAUACCGCAUAACAUCCGAUUUGCCCAGAUGGGAUGAGCUAGUAGGUGGGAUAAAGGCUCACCUAGGCGACGAUCCCUAGCUGGUCUGAGAGGAUGACCAGCGACACUGGAACUGAGACACGUGCCAGAGUCCUACGGGAGGCAGCAGGGGGGAAUAUUGCACAAUGGGCGCAAGCCGGAUGCAGCCAUGCCGCGUGUAUGAAGAAGGCCUUCGGGUUGUAAAGUACUUUCAGCGGGGAGGCGUUACCCGCAGAAGAAGCACCGGCUAACUCCGUGCCAGCAGCCGCGGUAAUAC
rnacentral:rRNA from 1 species